rnacentral:rRNA from 1 species
GCCAUGCCGCGUGUGUGAAGAAGGUCUUCGGAUUGUAAAGCACUUUAAGUUGGGAGGAAGGGCAGUAAGUUAAUACCUUGCUGUUUUGACGUUACCGACAGAAUAAGCACCGGCUAACUCUGUGCCAGCAGCCGCGGUAAUACCCCCCUAUCGGGAGUCAGCAGCCAGCAUACCACGGUUAUAUCAUACG